rnacentral:rRNA from 1 species
UCGGGCGGCCACAGCGGCAAGGACACACCCGUACCCAUCCCGAACACGGAAGUUAAGCUUGCCAGCGUUCCGGCAAGUCCUGGAGUGCGAGAGCCUCUGGAAACACCAGUUCGCCGCCCACC